rnacentral:rRNA from 1 species
AUUGAACGCUGGCGGAAUGCUUUACACAUGCAAGUCGAACGGCAGCACGGACUUCGGUCUGGUGGCGAGUGGUGAACGGGUGAGUAAUGUAUCGGAACGUGCCCAGUCGUGGGGGAAAACGUAGUGAAAAUUACGCUAAUACCGCAUACGAUCUAUGGAUGAAAGCGGGGGAUCGCAAGACCUCGCGCGAUUGGAGCGGCCGAUAUCAGAUUAGGUAGUUGGUGGGGUAAAGGCCCACCAAGCCAACGAUCUGUAGCUGGUCUGAGAGGACGACCAGCCACACUGGAACUGAGACACGGUCCAGACUCCUACGGGAGGCAGCAGUGGGGAAUUUUGGACAAUGGGCGAAAGCCUGAUCCAGCCAUUCCGCGUGCAGGAUGAAGGCCCUCGGGUUGUAAACUGCUUUUGUACAGAACGAAAAGGUUUCUACUAAUACUAGGAGCUCAUGACGGUACUGUAAGAAUAAGCACCGGCUAACUACGUGCCAGCAGCCGCCGUAA